UACGUAGGGUGCAAGCGUUGUCCGGAAUUAUUGGGCGUAAAGAGCUCGUAGGCGGUUUGUCGCGUCUGCUGUGAAAACGCGAGGCUCAACCUCGCGCCUGCAGUGGGUACGGGCAGACUAGAGUGCGGUAGGGGUGAUUGGAAUUCCUGGUGUAGCGGUGGAAUGCGCAGAUAUCAGGAGGAACACCAAUGGCGAAGGCAGAUCUCUGGGCCGUAACUGACGCUGAGGAGCGAAAGCAUGGGGAGCGAACAGG
rnacentral:rRNA from 1 species